CAGUAGCCACGGGAAUACGUAGGGUGCGAGCGUUAAUCGGAAUUACUGGGCGUAAAGCGUGCGCAGGCGGUUUUGUAAGACAGAGGUGAAAUCCCCGGGCUCAACCUGGGAACUGCCUUUGUGACUGCAAGGCUAGAGUACGGCAGAGGGGGAUGGAAUUCCGCGUGUAGCAGUGAAAUGCGUAGAUAUGCGGAGGAACACCGAUGGCGAAGGCAAUCCCCUGGGCCUGUACUGACGCUCAUGCACGAAAGCGUGGGGAGCAAACAGGAUUAGAUACCCCCGUAGUCCCUGUCUCUUAUAC
rnacentral:rRNA from 1 species